CUCAUGUUUUCUAUUGUGAGAAUAGACUCUUUUCCUGAACUGGAAGUGACUUAUGAGGUCUCAUUUGUUUUAUGAUUUAAAAUCUGAAUCCUUGGUGAACCAGGGAGGAAGAAUGAUGAAUUAUUUCAGUGGUUUGCUAGUGAUCCUGUGGCUUCAGUGUAUCUGGGUGAGCAGCCAGCAGAAGGAGGUGGAGCAGAGUCCUGAGACCCUCAGUGUUCCAGAGGGAGACACAGCGUCUUUAAACUGCACUUUCAGGAACAGCGCUUCUACCAACUUCAGAUGGUACCGACAGUACCCUGGGAAACGCCCUGAGCUGCUGAUAUCCAUAUUCUCCGAUGGUGACCAAGAAGAAGGAAGAUUCAAAGCACAGCUCAGCAGAGCCAACCGACGUGUUUCCCUGCACAUCGGGGCCUCCCUGUCCCUUGACUCAGCCACCUACUUCUGCGCAGUGAGCACACACUGCUCCCCAGGCACCUGCUGCCUGCACUCAAACCACAGAGGCUCAGGCAGACCUGAGGCAGAGUGGGGAUCACGGGCAGGAAAGUUCUGUUUUUACUCCAGAUGCAGUGGGAAAUAUGAAUAAUAGUGGGGAGGGCUUUACAGUCUAAAGAAAUAUUUUUAACAAUUGUGAGAGUAACUGGCCAUGAAGGGGAAGUUCAUACCUAUGAAACUGUCACCAUAAAUCAUUCCAUAAAAAUAACACUUGCCUAAAAAUGUUUUACGUCAUUUUUUUUUAGCUGUAGAGCUCUUAUGUCAUCUCUGCUCUCAGCUGCAACUCCUCUUAUGCAUUAGCUAAGGCAACCUCAGGAUGGGGAAUGGAAGGGUGGAAUAGACUCAGGAUGUGAGGGUUGGUAGAAACAAAAGGCUCAGCUGAUAGCAGCUAUUCCAGAUCAGAGAGGGUCUGUAUUGCUGUUCUUGAGUAUGAGCUGGGAUACUCCCAGAGUUCCUGGCCUCAAUCUUGAUUCUUCUACCCUGGGGUGUAGCGUGCGAAUGUAAGAAGCAUCAGCAACAGCCAUUGGGUGCUAUACACCUCGAAACAGCAUGGGAGCACAGGAUAGCCCCAUAUUUCUUAACAGGGAGCUUUGAGAAAGUGUCUGGAAUUGUUCCAGCCGUCAAAGUUUUUGUUCUGGUGAUAUAUGUUUUGAAUGGUGCUAUUACAGAAUGCAUGGUGUUUACUGCCUUCUGGUAAGUGGUGAGGACAGUUAGAGACAUUAAAGAACUGUGUACCUGGCCCCUCCCCUGACUUCUAUGGAGUUUCCUUGUACUUACACUAUAUCCAGGAAAAAGCCUUUGUGGUUUGAUAGAAAGAAGACCUCAUAAUAGGUGUUAAGUUGAAUUG